rnacentral:lncRNA from 1 species
AUGAGGACGGCUUCCCCGUGCAAAGCAGCGCCCCGCACUGAGGACAAGACCCCCCCCCGGAGAGGUCCAGGACGCAUGAACCCAACAAGCCUCCACCGGUGGCCAACGGCGAGCUGCGCCUCAACGGCAAGGGGAAGAAGCUGCGCAAACCACGCACCAUCUACUCCAGCCUGCAGCUGCAGGCCCUCAACCAACGCUUCCAGCAGACCCAAUACCUGGCGCUGCCCGAGCGUGCCGAGCUGGCGGCCCAGCUGGGGCUCACCCAGACCCAGGUCAAAAUCUGGUUCCAGAACAAGCGCUCCAAGUACAAGAAGAUCAUGAAGCAGGGCUCGAGUGCACCCGAUGGGGAGCAGCACCUGCACACCUCCUCCUCACUGUCCCCCUGCUCCCCCAGCAUCCCCCCGCUCUGGGACAUCCCUGUGCCGGGCAAAGGGCCCCCGCUGCCCCCCAACAACUACAUCAGCAGCUUCGGAGCCUGGUACCAGCCGCACCCUCAGGACUCCAUGCCCCGUGGUCCCAUGAUGUGACACCACUAUGGCUGCAGCACCCAGCGGCUCCGGGAGGACCAGCAAGGGGGGAACAUGCCUCCGAGCCCUGAUGGACGAUGCUAUGAGGGACCCCAGCAAAUGGAGGAUGAAGAAGAGGAGGAUGAAGGUGACCACUGUCUGCAGGGACCCAAAUUGUGGGCUGAAGUGAGAUGCCCCCGGCACAGAGCCCUUGUACGGGCGGGACAGGACUUUGGCCAAGCUGCAGCCCCAAGGUCUAUGGGCACAGAGGGGCUGGAGGGGUCCCCGGAGCCCCUGCCCCAGGGCCUGGCUUUAUUUAUAAGCACCAUCUGUGAACCUAAGUGCCCCCUGUUAUAAAUAGGCUGUACAAUUGUAAAGUAAAGACUGCUCCUCGGUACCUGCUGCCAUGUGCUGAGGGUCUCCAUGGUCUGGGGAGAAUGCUCCUGUGGGGUGGGGGCAUCCAAAGAGGGGACAGGUACCCCCAGACCCCCCCAGCCUAACAUCUGUGCAGGACCCACCACUAUUCUCAGACCUGCCACUAUUUUCAG